AAUGAACGCUGGCGGCGUGCUUAACACAUGCAAGUCGCACGAAAACGUUUCAGCUUGCUGAGACUAGUACAGUGGCGCACGGGUGAGUAACACGUGGGUAAUCUUCCCUCGGGCGGGGGAUAACAUUCCGAAAGGAGUGCUAAUACCGCAUAAGACCACGGCUUCGAACGGAGCUGAGGUCAAAGCCGGCCUAUAUUCAUAAGCUGGCACCUGAGGAUGAGCACGCGGCCCAUCACCUAGUUGGUAGGGUAAUGGCCUACCAAGGCAAAGACGGGUAGCUGGUCUGAGAGGAUGAUCAGCCACACUGGAACUGAGACACGGUCCAGACUCCUACGGGAGGCAGCAGUGGGGAAUCUUGCGCAAUGGGCGAAAGCCUGACGCAGCGACGCCGCGUGAGUGAUGAAGGCCUUCGGGUUGUAAAGCUCUGUGGGGAGAGACGAAUAAGUCGGAGCUAAUACCUCCGGCGAUGACGGUAUCUCCUUAGCAAGCACCGGCUAACUCUGUGCCAGCCGCCGCAGUAAUAC
rnacentral:rRNA from 1 species